UGUGAGCUCGAUGAGUAGGGCGGGACACGUGGUAUCCUGUCUGAAUAUGGGGGGACCAUCCUCCAAGGCUAAAUACUCCUGACUGACCGAUAGUGAACCAGUACCGUGAGGGAAAGGCGAAAAGAACCCCGGCGAGGGGAGUGAAAAAGAACCUGAAACCGUGUACGUACAAGCAGUGGGAGCACGCUUCGGCGUGUGACUGCGUACCUUUUGUAUAAUGGGUCAGCGACUUAUAUUCUGUAGCAAGGUUAACCGAAUAGGGGAGCCGAAGGGAAACCGAGUCUUAACUGGGCGUUAAGUUGCAGGGUAUAGACCCGAAACCCGGUGAUCUAGCCAUGGGCAGGUUGAAGGUUGGGUAACACUAACUGGAGGACCGAACCGACUAAUGUUGAAAAAUUAGCGGAUGACUUGUGGCUGGGGGUGAAAGGCCAAUCAAACCGGGAGAUAGCUGGUUCUCCCCGAAAGCUAUUUAGGUAGCGCCUCGUGAAUUCAUCUCCGGGGGUAGAGCACUGUUUCGGCAAGGGGGUCAUCCCGACUUACCAACCCGAUGCAAACUGCGAAUACCGGAGAAUGUUAUCACGGGAGACACACGGCGGGUGCUAACGUCCGUCGUGAAGAGGGAAACAACCCAGACCGCCAGCUAAGGUCCCAAAGUCAUGGUUAAGUGGGAAACGAUGUGGGAAGGCCCAGACAGCCAGGAUGUUGGCUUAGAAGCAGCCAUCAUUUAAAGAAAGCGUAAUAGCUCACUGGUCGAGUCGGCCUGCGCGGAAGAUGUAACGGGGCUAAACCAUGCACCGAAGCUGCGGCAGCGAC
rnacentral:rRNA from 1 species